CAUACGCGUGAGAAUCUGGCUCCAGGUCCGGGACAACAGUUGGAAACGGCUGCUAAUACCGGAUGUGCCCUAGGGUGAAAGGCUAGCUGCCUGGAGAUGAGCUCGCGUCCGAUUAGUUAGUUGGUGUGGUAAGAGCGCACCAAGACGGCGAUCGGUAGCUGGUCUGAGAGGACGAUCAGCCACACUGGAACUGAGACACGGUCCAGACUCCUACGGGAGGCAGCAGUGGGGAAUUUUCCGCAAUGGGCGAAAGCCUGACGGAGCAAUACCGCGUGAGGGAGGAAGGCUCUUGGGUUGUAAACCUCUUUUCUCAAGGAAUAAUAAGUUGAAGGUACUUGAGGAAUAAGCAUCGGCUAACUCCGUGCCAGCAGCCGCGGUAAUACGGAGGAUGCAAGCGUUAUCCGGAAUGAUUGGGCGUAAAGCGUCCGCAGGUGGUUUGUCAAGUCUGCUGUCAAAGCGUCUGGCUUAACUAGAUAAAGGCAGUGGAAACUGAGAGACUGGAGUAUGGUAGGGGUAGAGGGAAUUCCCGGUGUAGCGGUGAAAUGCGUAGAGAUCGGGAAGAACACCGGUGGCGAAAGCGCUCUGCUGGACCAUAACUGAC
rnacentral:rRNA from 1 species